rnacentral:lncRNA from 1 species
GGAAUUCCUACCGUCCGGUGGAAUCUCGGAUGUCGGAGACCUCUAGAAGGGUAGAGUCAUGUUUUUAUGAAAUGUUUUUAUGUUUUAAAUGAUUUUAAGUGUGAAUUAAAUGAGUUUUUACAUGAAAAUAGCUUUGGGGGAAAACCCAGGUUCGGCCGCCGAAAGUCAAGUUCGGCCGCCGAACAUGCAUGCGUUUUGGAGGCACGUUAGGCCCCCGAAAGCAUGAGUGAGGGAAGUCAAGGUUCGGCCGCCGAACCUCAUGUUCGGCCGCCGAACAUUGCAUGGAUACGGAGG